CCCCUAGAUGUUCUGGGCCGCACGCGCGCUACACUGAACAGUUCAACAAGUCUUAACCUUGGCCGAUAGGUCUGGGUAAUCUUUGAACGCUGUUCGUGAUUGGGAUAGACCUUUGCAAUUAUGGGUCUUCAACGAGGAAUUCCUAGUAAACGCAAGUCAUCAGCUUGCAUUGAUUACGUCCCUGCCCUUUGUACACACCGCCCGUCGCACCUACCGAUUGAAUGGUCCGGUGAAAUCUCGGGACGGCGGCUUGGUCGCUUGCGUCCGACUGCUGAAACUUGAUUAAACCAUAUCAUUUAGAGGAAGGUGAAGUCGUANCG
rnacentral:rRNA from 1 species